rfam:Lupinus angustifolius cultivar Tanjil contig_26950, whole genome shotgun sequence.
AAUCAGGUGAUGAGAAAAAAAUAACUGCAACAAUCUGAUUGGAUUUAUUCCAAUGAUUCACUGUAUUUAAGUCUCUGAUGAUU